rnacentral:rRNA from 1 species
UACGGAGGGGGCUAGCGUUGUUCGGAAUUACUGGGCGUAAAGCGCACGUAGGCGGCUUUGUAAGUUAGAGGUGAAAGCCCAGGGCUCGACCCUGGAAUUGCCUUUAAGACUGCAUCGCUAGAAUUGUGGAGAGGUAAGUGGAAUUCCGAGUGUAGAGGUGAAAUUCGUAGAUAUUCGGAAGAACACCGGUGGCGAAGGCGACUUACUGGACACAUAUUGACGCUGAGGUGCGAAAGCGUGGGGAGCAAACAGG